AUGAACAUGCUUCCUGACACCUGCUCUGUUCUCGUGCUCCUCCUAAUGCUCAGAAGGAGCAAUGGAGACUCAGUGACCCAGACAGAAGGCCUGGUCACUCUCACAGAGGGGUCGCCUGUGAUGCUGAACUGUACCUUUCAGACUGCUUAUUCAGAUAUUUCCCUGUUCUGGUAUGUGCAAUAUCUCAAUAAAGCUCCUGAGCUACUCCUGAGGAGCUCUACAGACAACAAGAGGACCGAGCACGAAGGGUUCCACGCCGCUCUCCAUAAGAGCAGCCGCUCCUUCCGUCUGCAGAAGCCCUCAGCACAGCUGUCAGACUCUGCCCUGUACUACUGUGCUGUGGAGACACAGUGAGGGAGACGGCAGGGGAAGCUGCACAUGAACCCAGGGUGCAGGAGGGCUGAGGAGAGGGAAGGCCGGGGGAGGGAGGCUAUGUGCUUUGGCUAAGUGAUUGUUUUCCUAGCUGUCUGAAAAUACCUACAAAUCACAGGUCAAAUUCCUAGAAAUGUAGGUAUUUGUGGUUAUUUUGACAAGAUAGGAUGGAUGUCAGUGCUAGUAAGAACCCAGGUUUUGAUCCCCAGAAAUAGCGCCAGACCUCUCCCAGAAAAUAC